rnacentral:rRNA from 1 species
GCCAGACUCCUACGGGAGGCAGCAGUGAGGAAUAUUGGUCAAUGGGCGCGAGCCUGAACCAGCCAAGUCGCGUGAGGGAGGACGGCCCUACGGGUUGUAAACCUCUUUUGCCGGGGAGCAACGGGCGUCACGUGUGGCGCCACUGAGAGUACCCGGAGAAAAAGCAUCGGCUAACUCCGUGCCAGCAGCCGCGGUAAUACGGAGGAUGCGAGCGUUAUCCGGAUUUAUUGGGUUUAAAGGGUGCGCAGGCGGAGGUGCAAGUCAGUGGUCAAAUUGCGGGGCUCAACCCCGUACUGCCGUUGAAACUGCAUCCCUUGAGUGCGCGAGAAGUAUGCGGAAUGCGUGGUGUAGCGGUGAAAUGCAUAGAUAUCACGCAGAACUCCGAUUGCGAAGGCAGCAUACCGGCGCGCAACUGACGCUCAUGCACGAAAGCGUGGGUAUCGAACAGGAUUAGAUACCCCCGUA